rnacentral:rRNA from 1 species
ACGGAAGGCAGCAGUGAGGAAUAUUGGUCAAUGGGCGGAAGCCUGAACCAGCCAUGUCGCGUGCAGGACUACGGCCCUACGGGUCUUAAACUGCUUUUGCAAGGGGAUAAAGUGGGGCACGCGUGCCCCUUUGCAGGUACCUUGCGAAUAAGGAUCGGCUAACUCCGUGCCAGCAGCCGCGGUAAUACGGAGGAUCCGAGCGUUAUCCGGAUUUAUUGGGUUUAAAGGGUGCGUAGGCGGGCUGUUAAGUCAGCGGUGAAACCCCCGGGCUCAACCCGGGGACUGCCAUUGAAACUGGCGAGCUCGAGUACGGAUGAAGUCGGCGGAAUGUGAUGUGUAGCGGUGAAAUGCUUAGAUAUGUCACAGAACACCGAUUGCGAAGGCAGCUGACUAAUCCGCAACUGACGCUCAGGCACGAAAGCGUGGGGAUCGAACAGGAUUAGAUACCCUGGUA